GACAGAGUGAGGGAGGUGGUGACUAGUGACAGAGUGAGGGAGGUGGUGACUGUCACUAGUCACCACCUCCCUCACUCUGUCCCUAGUCACCACCUCCCUCACUCUGUCCCUAGUCACCCCUCCCUCUGUCACUAGUAACCCCCUCCCUCACUCUGUC